UUCAGAUUGGCGAUUGGGUGUUCCUGAAAGUGUCACCGAUGAAAGGUGUUAUGCGAUUUGGCAAGAAAGGAAAGCUCAGUCCGAGAUAUAUUGGGCCCUAUCUGAUUAUUCGCAAAAUAGGCAAGGUGGCCUACGAAUUGGAUUUGCCAGCUGACUUGGGAGCGGUACACCCGGUAUUUCAUGUUUCUAUGCUUCGUAAGUGUAUUGGUGACCCUUCCAGAGUCUUUCCUGUAGAUGACAUUCAGGUCACAGAGGAGCUAUCUUAUGAGGAGCAGCCUAUAGCCAUAUUGGAUCGCCAGGUAAAAAGGUUGCGGAACAAAGAUAUGGCUUCUGUUAAAGUGCUGUGGCGGAACAAUAACCGAGAGGAAAUGACCUGGGAAGCUGAGGAGCAUAUGAAGAAGAAGUAUCCUCAUUUAUUUUCAGAGCCUACAGAUCGUGGGCAGGCCGAAUCAUAGUUUGGACUUAGCUUGAGUUGGAUCAUAUUGGAGAGCGUUUGAGGUACAGACGCACAGCCUGGUGAUCCACCUGUUUAGGACACCCUUUCUGCUAUUCGGAGUGCUCCUCUCUUUCCGGAGCUUAUACUUUUGGUAUAUAUAUAUUUAUUAGUGCAUUUGUAUAUAUUCGUUCAUGGGUACGGCGGGGCCCUGUCCCGUCAUAUGAUUAUGUCGGUCUGUUUAGAGGUCUGUGGACAUGUUUGUGGGUUAGGGUCUUUCUGUAUGGAUGUAUGUACAUGUCGUUUGGGCGAUCCCAUACGCCGAGGCGGCCGGUCCGCAUAUGUUGUUUGGGCGAUCCUAUACGCCGAGGCGGCCGGUCCGCAUAUGUUUAUAUAUUGCUUGGUUAGCCCUGUGUGGCUUUUGUUGGUAUUUUCUGCGUGCAGGGUAUAUUGGAUAGUCCGUAAAA